UUUUUGGCUGUGUUAGGUCUUCAUUUCUAUGUGAGGGCUUUCUCUAGUUGCGGUGAGUGGGGGCCACUCUUCAUCGCGGUGCGCGGGCCUCUCACUGUCGCGGACUCUUGUUGCGGAGCACAAGCUCCAGAUGCGCAGGCUCAGUAGCUGUGGCUCACGGGCCUAGUUGCUCAGUGGCAUGUGGGAUCCUCCCAGACCAGGGCUCGAACCCGUGUCCCCUGCAUUGGCAGACAGAUUCUCAACUGCGCCACCAGGGAAGCCCCUUGACAUCAUUUUUGAAAGAUGUUUGAAAAUAUUUCCAUUAUGUUAUAGUUGAUUCUUUCUCUUUGGAAGAGUUAUGGUCUAUAAAUUCUUAGCAAACACUGAGCAAACAAUACUGCUCCUAGGAGAAAUACAGGAUUAGGUUUCUGCCGGCCUCUUCACAUUUUGGUAAAACUAUCAAUACAUAACCUUGUUUUAUGUGUGUGUCUGUUUAAAGACACCUUAUUUAAUGUAUAUUAUUGAUUCGUUAGUUGAACUCAUGUUCAACAGCGCUGUAACUCGUGUGAAGUAAGCUUAGCUAACACAAGUAUUUUCUACCUGAGGCACAGUGCCGCCUUGUGCUUGGGAAUACUAGACAAUGCCAUGUUUGCGGACCAUUUUAAACAGCAAAAUCAUCAAAAAAAAAAAAAAAAAGAAAACAGAAAACCCACAAAAAGUGGCAAGUGUAGCAUUAAAUAGACCAGGAAAAGGACACUUGUUUACAGUGGGAGAGCUGGUGUCACCUUGUUCUACCUCAGCUGGGAACGUGCGCGGCAGGCAAAACAAACUUUUUUUGCCACUCGACUGUGUCUGCUAAUAAGCGGGGAAAGCAGGGGAUAUGUAAUCAAAAUAAUUUGGAAACUACUGCCCUAGAAAGUUGGAAGAUCCCUUUUCUCAGAAAACUGAAAGAAGAAUUUACCUGGAAGCAGCGAGCUGAAUUCUUCAAGCAGAUGGCUGAAACCAAUGGAGCCAAACGUGAACUAAAUGGAGACGUGAUGGGAACCACCACUUCUGAGUCCUUCGCAUCUUAGAAGUUGGUGCUCAAGUCUGCAGUUCCACCUGGGAUGCGGUAUGUCUUCUCCUUUAAUACUUUCUGGGUCAAGACAGGGUCCUAUGGUGUCAGUGUCAACUCAGACCCUCUAUCCUGCUCUUGCGAGAUCUGAUUCUUGUUUCUCCAGUGGAUGGUAACUGGUAAGUAGCCACAGGUGCCUUUGGGAAAUGAUAAAGAGAAUAUUUAUUGACGCUACUAUAGUGGCUCUGCAGGGUCUUUCCUCAAGUGGACCCAGCCUCCUCUAUAAUUGCUGGACUGUGGCCUGAGAACUGGGUUAGACCCUAAAACCGGG